rnacentral:rRNA from 1 species
UACGUAGGGUGCAAGCGUUAAUCGGAAUUACUGGGCGUAAAGCGUGCGCAGGCGGCUUUGCAAGACAGAUGUGAAAUCCCCGGGCUUAACCUGGGAACUGCAUUUGUGACUGCAUGGCUAGAGUGCGGCAGAGGGGGAUGGAAUUUACGGUGUAGCAGUGAAAUGCGUAGAUAUCGUAAGGAAGACCAGUGGCGAAGGCGAAUCUCUGGACAGUUACUGACACUGAGGCACGAAGGCCAGGGGAGCAAACGGG